rnacentral:misc_RNA from 1 species
GUGAGUCCAUCGUUACCUCACCAUUCAUUGAAUGAGGAAAGAAUGCUUUCAUAUAAGAAUAGACAACCACUGCAGGAGCUGCUUGAUGGCAUGGCAUUACUUGUCCAGCAAGCCACUUCUUUUGUUGAUGUGGCUCUUGAUGCAGAUUGUGGUGAUGGUCCUUAUGGUUGGCUUGCAUUACAAGAGCACUGGAGGCGAGGAUUUUCUUGUGGCCCUUCCAUGGUCCAUGCAGGUUGUGGGGGAACUUUGGCUUCUUGCCAUUCCCUGGACAUUGCUGGCAUGCAGUUAGUAGAUCCUCUUUCUUCUGAUAUUCAUGCUUCCUCUGUGAUUAGCUUGCUUCAGUCUGAAAUCAAAACAGCCCUAAAAUCUGCAUUCGAGAAUUUGGAUGGCCCAUUAUCUGUCACUGAUUGGUGCAGGGGCCGCAGUCAAUCGGGUGAUGUAGGUACCA